rnacentral:rRNA from 1 species
GAUCGGAUCAAGCGCGAGAAGGGCGUUUGGUGGAUGCCUUGGCAGCAAGAGGCGAUGAAGGACGUGAUAAUCUGCGAUAAGCCUGGGGGAGCCGAUAAUAGGCCUUGAUCCCGGGAUCUCCGAAUGGGGCAACCCACCUGAAGAGUUUUUGUUGUUUUGUUGUUUGGCCGUUUGUGGACAUCACGUCCUCAGGCAGCGAAGCGAUAGGACAUCAAGGACUCUGACCAGGUACUUAUGACCUGAAUACAUAGGGACAUAAGAGCAAACCCGGGGAACUGAAACAUCUCAGUACCCGGAGGAAAGGAAAUCAACCGAUACUCCGUUAGUAGCGGCGAGCGAACGCGGACCAGCCGAGCAGUGAUCGUGAGCAGAACCAGUUGGGAAGCUGGGCGAUAUGGGUGACAGCCCCGUAUGCGAAGCGAGAUCUGACGUAUCAAGUAGGGCGGGACACGUGAAAUCCUGUCUGAAGAUCGGGGGACCACCCUCGAAGGCUAAGUACUCCUUGCUGACCGAUAGCGAACCAGUACCGUGAGGGAAAGGUGAAAAGCANNNNNNNNNNNNNNNNNNNNNNNNNNNNNNNNNNNNNNNNNNNNNNNNNNNNNNNNNNNNNNNNNNNNNNNNNNNNNNNNNNNNNNNNNNNNNNNNGCACCCCGACAAGGGGAGUGAAAAAGUUCCUGAAACCGGACGCCUACAAGCAGUCGGAGCCUCCCAUGUUCUUCGGAACGGGCGGGGUGACGGCGUACCUUUUGUAUAAUGGGUCAACGACUUGGUCUCACGAGCAAGCUUAAGCCGAUAGGUGUAGGCGCAGCGAAAGCGAGUCUUAAUAGGGCGUCCCUCUUCAUUGAGGAUCGAGUUCGUGGGAUCAGACCCGAAACCAGGUGAUCUAGGCAUGUGCAGGAUGAAGGUGCGGUAACACGCACUGGAGGUCCGAACCCACACCCGUUGAAAAGGGUCGGGAUGACGUGUGCCUAGGGGUGAAAGGCCAAUCAAACCUGGAGAUAGCUGGUUCUCCGCGAAAUCUAUUUAGGUAGAGCGUCGGAUGAAUGCCCUCGGGGGUAGAGCACUGGAUGGGUAAUGGGGUCCCACAGACUUACUGAUCCUAACCAAACUCCGAAUACCGAGGAGCACUGUCCGGCAGACACACUGCGGAUGCUAACGUCCGUAGUGGAGAGGGAAACAACCCUGACCUGCAGCUAAGGCCCCUAAUUCAUGGCUAAGUGGGAAAGCAUGUGAGACGACCAAAACAACCAGGAGGUUGGCUUAGAAGCAGCCAUCCUUUAAAGAUAGCGUAACAGCUCACUGGUCUAGACAAGUUGUCUUGCGGCGAAGAUGUACCGGGGCUCAAGCCAUGAGCCGAAGCUCAGGACUGCGCAAGCAGUGGUAGCGGAGCGUAGUGUUCAGUAACCCUGACCUCUUGAGAUUUUUUGUGUCCUGCCGGCCUUCGGCCUGCUUGAGGACGUUUUGGGCUUCGUGCCCGGACGCGCUCAGGUAGCGAAGCGGGUAGCGCAUCGAAAAUCUGCGGAGGUUGAGGGUUCAGCGACGAAGCGGCCCUGUGAGGGAGCCGUGGAGCGUUCACUAGCGAGAAUGUUGACAUGAGUAGCGAUAAACAGGGUGAGAGACCCUGUCGCCGAAAGUCCAAGGGUUCCUGCUUAAAGCUAAUCUGAGCAGGGUAAGCCGACCCCUAAGGCGAGGCCGAAAGGCGUAGUCGAUGGGAAUCAGGUUAAUAUUCCUGAGCCAGGAGGAUGUGACGGAUCGAAAGCGUAGUUGACCCUUAUCGGAUUGGGUCGGCUGCCGGACGGUUCCUGGAAAUAGCCCUCCAUCAGAUCGUACCCUAAACCGACACAGGUGGACUGGUAGAGCAUACCAAGGCGCUUGAGAGAACUGCAUUGAAGGAACUCGGCAAAAUGCCUCCGUAAGUUCGCGAGAAGGAGGCCCGGUUCGAAGGCAACUUCGGGCCGGGGGCACAGACUAGGGGGUGGCGACUGUUUACUAAAAACACAGGGCUCUGCGAAGUCGCAAGACGACGUAUAGGGUCUGACGCCUGCCCGGUGCCGGAAGGUUAAAAGGAGGUGUGCAAGCACCGAAUUGAAGCCCCGGUAAACGGCGGCCGUAACUAUAACGGUCCUAAGGUAGCGAAAUUCCUUGUCGGGUAAGUUCCGACCUGCACGAAUGGCGUAACGACUUCCCCGCUGUCUCCAAUGCAGACUCAGCGAAAUUGAAUUCCCCGUGAAGAUGCGGGGUACCCGCGGUCAGACGGAAAGACCCCGUGCACCUUUACUACAGCUUCAGACUGGCAUCAGGCCUGCGAUGUGCAGGAUAGGUGGUAGGCUUUGAACCGGGGACGCCAGUCCUCGGGGAGCCACCCUUGAGAUACCACCCUUCGUUCGCUUGAUGUCUAACCGCGGUCCGUCAUCCGGAUCCGGGACCCUCUGUGGCGGGUAGUUUGACUGGGGCGGUCGCCUCCCAAAGAGUAACGGAGGCGCGCGAUGGUGGGCUCAGGUUGGUCGGAAAUCAACCGUCGAGUGCAAUGGCAUAAGCCCGCCUGACUGCAAGACUGACAAGUCGAGCAGAGUCGAAAGACGGCCAUAGUGAUCCGGUGGUCCCGAGUGGAAGGGCCAUCGCUCAACGGAUAAAAGGUACGCCGGGGAUAACAGGCUGAUACUGCCCAAGAGUCCAUAUCGACGGCAGUGUUUGGCACCUCGAUGUCGGCUCAUCUCAUCCUGGGGCUGGAGCAGGUCCCAAGGGUACGGCUGUUCGCCGUUUAAAGAGGUACGUGAGCUGGGUUUAGAACGUCGUGAGACAGUUCGGUCCCUAUCUGCCGUGGGUGUCGGAGACUUGAGAGGAGUUGCCCCUAGUACGAGAGGACCGGGGUGAACGCACCACUGGUGGACCUGUUGUCGUGCCAACGGCAGUGCAGGGUAGCUAUGUGCGGACAGGAUAACCGCUGAAGGCAUCUAAGCGGGAAGCCCCCCUCAAAACCAGGUCUCCCUGAGGGGCGUGGAAGACCACCACGUCGAUAGGCCGGAGAUGUAAGCGCGGCAACGCGUUCAGUUGACCGGUACUAAUCCCCCGAUAGGCUUGAUCCCGAUCCGG